rnacentral:rRNA from 1 species
AAUGCGGGAUGAUGUCGAGUGGCGGACGGGUGAGUAACGCGUAAAUCAUCUACCUUUCGGACGGGGACAACCCAGGGAAACUUGGGCUAAUACCCGAUAAGAACACAGUGACCCAUGUUAUUGUGCGGAAAACACUUAGAUGGCCGAUUGAUGAGUUUGCGUCUGAUUAGCUAGUUGGUGGGGUAAUGGCCUACCAAGGCGAUGAUCAGUAGCUGGUCUGAGAGGAUGAACAGCCACACUGGAACUGAGACACGGUCCAGACUCCUACGGGAGGCAGCAGUGAGGAAUUUUGCUCAAUGGGCGAAAGCCUGAAGCAGCGACGCCGCGUGAAUGAUGAAGUUCUUCGGAAUGUAAAGUUCUUUUGGCAGGGAAAAUGAUGAUUGUACCUGCAGAAUAAGCACCGGCAAACUAUGUGCCAGCAGCCGCGGUAAUACAUAGGGUGCAAGCGUUGUCCGGAAUUACUGGGCGUAAAGAGCGUGUAGGCGGCUUUUUAAGUCGUAACUUUAAAGCCUGGAGCUUAACUCCAGUUCGGGUUCGAUACUGAUAAGCUAGAGAUUGGGAGAGGAAAGCGGAACUCACAGUGUAGCGGUGAAAUGCGUAGAUAUUGUGAGGAACACCCGUGGCGAAGGCGGCUUUCUGGACCAUUUCUGACGCUGAGACGCGAAAGCGUGGGGAUCAAACAGGAUUAGAUACCCUGGUAGUCCACGCUGUAAACGAUGUACAUUAGGUAUUGGGGGUAUCGACCCCUCCAGUGCCGAAGCUAACGCGUUAAAUGUACCGCCUGGGGAGUACGGUCGCAA